rnacentral:rRNA from 1 species
AGAGUUUGAUCCUGGCUCAGGACGAACGCUGGCGGCGUGCCUAAUACAUGCAAGUCGAGCGAAGUUUUUCUGGUGCUUGCACUAGAAAAACUUAGCGGCGAACGGGUGAGUAACACGUAAAGAACCUGCCUCAUAGACUGGGACAACUAUUGGAAACGAUAGCUAAUACCGGAUAACAGCAUUAACUGCAUGGUUGAUGUUUAAAAGUUGGUUUUGCUAACACUAUGAGAUGGCUUUGCGGUGCAUUAGCUAGUUGGUGGGGUAAAGGCCUACCAAGGCGACGAUGCAUAGCCGACCUGAGAGGGUGAUCGGCCACACUGGGACUGAGACACGGCCCAGACUCCUACGGGAGGCAGCAGUAGGGAAUCUUCCGCAAUGGGCGAAAGCCUGACGGAGCAACGCCGCGUGAGUGAAGAAGGAUUUCGGUUCGUAAAGCUCUGUUGUUAGGGAAGAAUGAUUGUGUAGUAACUAUACACAGUAGAGACGGUACCUAACCAGAAAGCCACGGCUAACUACGUGCCAGCAGCCGCGGUAAUACGUAGGUGGCAAGCGUUGUCCGGAAUUAUUGGGCGUAAAGCGCGCGCAGGUGGUUUAAUAAGUCUGAUGUGAAAGCCCACGGCUCAACCGUGGAGGGUCAUUGGAAACUGUUAAACUUGAGUGCAGGAGAGAAAAGUGGAAUUCCUAGUGUAGCGGUGAAAUGCGUAGAGAUUAGGAGGAACACCAGUGGCGAAGGCGGCUUUUUGGCCUGUAACUGACACUGAGGCGCGAAAGCGUGGGGAGCAAACAGGAUUAGAUACCCUGGUAGUCCACGCCGUAAACGAUGAGUGCUAAGUGUUGGUCUCAUAAGAGAUCAGUGCUGCAGCUAACGCAUUAAGCACUCCGCCUGGGGAGUACGACCGCAAGGUUGAAACUCAAAGGAAUUGACGGGGGCCCG